GCUCUGUCUCAUUAUGGUGCUGAAUCAGAUCAGUACGACCAGAAUACUCUGCCACACAUGGAUCCAGCAGCGUUUCUAGGGGACCCUGUCUAGGUAUGGACCCAGUCGAUCAGCUACUCAAGUUACAACAGGGGAGUUCAUCUAUUGAGGAUUACAUACAGCAGCUCUCGUAGCCACCAGAUCCAGUCCAAAUCCAGAUCAGAGGGUCACUGCAGUCACCCAGAUCCAGUGCCUAUCCAGACCAGAUGGUGGAUCAGCACCUAGAAAGGACCUCUACAGCCCUGAAAGACAGCGGAGACCAGGACAACUA